GCCCAGGUGGUGAAAUUGGUAGACAUACCACUUUGAGGGGGUGGCGCCGGUUACGGUGUACGAGUUCGAAUCUCGUCCUGGGCAC
rnacentral:tRNA from 1 species